rnacentral:lncRNA from 1 species
UGGCUGUGAUCUUUGACCAAGGAGGCAGGAAUAUCCAGUGGGAAAAAGACAGUCUCUUCAAUAAAUUAUCCUGGGAAAACUGAACAGCCACAUGCGAAAGAAUGAAACCGGACCACUUUCUUACACCAUACACAAAAUUAACUCUAAGUGGAUUAAAGACCUAAAUGUGAGGCCUGAAACUGUAAAAAUGUAUAGAAGAGAGCCCAGGCAGUAAUCUGACAUGGACCAUAGCAACACUUUUCUAGAUAUGUCUCCUAAAAACAUGAUUUUAAUUAAAAAAAUCAUUCUGUGUGUCGAGCGUCUCUCCCGAGCCGGCGCCUUCUCUCAGGAGCUCCCGGGCUGGUCUGGCAGGAGAGAGACCCACAGGCGGAGAGGACAAAAGCAUCCUGGAUGGACACGAAGAGGCUUGCCAAUGUAAAAGGGAUAUCACGGAGGUAUAAAAAGCAAAUGUUUUCCAAGUACAGUCUCCGAUCCUCAAGAAUACCAGUAGUUUCAAAAGUAACUGUUAAACAUCAACUAGGGGAAUACUAGUGCAGGGGAGUGGCGCUUAAUGAAACGUUGAUUGGCGACUGCAUUCUUUCGAAACCGGAAUGGCUCCCAAGGGCUUCAUUGCACAACCCGGGACCCAGGCAGACCAACAGACCGUUCAGUGACUAGCAGGGUACUGCAUUUCCGACAUCUGUGUAUCUCAGCACGUUUGAUUUAUUGGAAACCCACAGCAAAAUGUCUGGGCUGAGAACACAUGACUGCGUGUCCCUUAUGUCCCUUGGAACCUCGCGCAGGAGGAGGUCUCUGGGAGUGGCUCCUUCCAGCCCCGAAUUGGAGGAGUCGGGUCAGCCGCGAUGCUCCGGAGAAGCAGGUGGCCCCCACGAGGUGCCGGGGACCACAGACGCACCUUCUCUCCCCCUCACAGCAAAGCUGCGCGAGAGACUUUCGCCAGCCGAGGCCAGAGUCAUUCUGGGACAGCUGGCCCCCGAGCCCUGCUGAGGAGCCUGGACGCAGCCCUCUGCUCCGAGGAGCCGUAUUCCUGGCCGGACAUGAAAGGAAAGAUUAUAACAGCCCGUUCUCUGCCGGCGGCUUAUCCCAGGCGGGAACCCAGCGAAAUCCGCGCCGCGAGCCCUCAUCCUUCUCGUCUCGUCCCGCCAACCGCCGCAUCCUGACGGGGUCCGAUGAGACCUGGGGGUCUCGGGGUACACGGAGCCUGCGCCGCACCCCGUGGGCCGCUUGUGCCCUUUCUGCGGAGGCGGCCGCUGGGGCUGAGGGAGGUGGCCGGGCCUCGAGUGACGGGUGCCGAGUGACGGAGGCCGGGCUGGGACGGGAUCCACCCGUUGCAGCGCCCGGGUCCCUUCCUCCUUCCUAUUUGUCUUCUGCAGGCCGAGGGGCUGGGCCUCGCCUGUACAGGGUGUUCCCUGCAGCUUCGGGAUGGUGUUGUGUAAUCCUGUGGCUGCGUGUGGUGUGUGGGACGCUGAGCGUGGGGGCCUCUGCGGGGUCAGGCAAGGUUAAGCCGAGGCCCGAGCCCGUGGCGUCGGAUGGGAGCGGCCGACAGCACCCCCUCGCCCUGGGGGACCGUGGGGGCAGAUGA